AACGUAGGAGACAAACGUUAUCCGGAGUUACUGGGCGUAAAGGGCGUGUAGGCGGUUAGUUAAGUCUGGCGUGAAAGCUCUCGGCUAAACCGGGAGAGGUCGUUGGAUACUGGCUGACUAGAGGACGGUAGAGGCGUGUGGAAUUCCGGGUGUAGUGGUGAGAUGCGUAGAGAUCCGGAGGAACACCAGUGGCGAAGGCGACACGCUGGGCCGUACCUGACGCUAAAGCGCGACAGCAUGGGGAGCAAACGGG
rnacentral:rRNA from 1 species